rnacentral:antisense_RNA from 1 species
CUCUGUGACUGGCUUGCUUGAUGGUUAGGGUCUGAUCGCUGCCUGAGACACCAUAUCGGUACUCCUCAGAGUUGAUUCUGCAUGUGAAAAACAUAAAAAGAAAAAAAGUCAACUUCUUCAUGCAAUGUGAUCACAGGAUCUGGUUUGCCACUGAAAGGAAUCUUGAUGCUGACCACUUCACCUCGGAGAGCAUGAACUGCUCCCAUGCCUUCAAGAGUUUUAGGAUGGCAUCAACUGUUCCAAAAACAUUGCUGAGCUGGACUUUGUAUUUCCCAGCAUGAGUCUUACGUUGGACAUUCUUCAUGACAAGUGGGUAACCAGGAUGGAACUGCGGUGUUGCUUGCAGGAGAAGCUUACUACUGGUUUCUACUUCUCCAACCUCAUUGGUGGCUAUGCAGGCACUGUCUCCAGACUGUCUAUAUUCAACCCAGUAUCCAAGAAUUUCUUUACCACCAUCACAUUCAGGUUUCUCCCACUGUAGAGUGACACUAUCUUUGGAUAUUGAAAGAAUCUCAAGUUCUCCUGGUUGGCUUGGUUUAUCUGAAAUAUUUUAAAAUAAUGAAAAGGGAGUCAGCUUUACUGGUGAAAUAAAAGGACCAAACAU